CUACGGGAUGCUCCAGUGGGGAAUUUUGCGCAAUGGGCGAAAGCCUGACGCAGCAACGCCGCGUGACUGAAGAAGCUUUGCGGAGUGUAAAAGUCUGUCGUAAGGGAAGAAAGCUCCUAAUAUUAACACUAUUAGGUUUUGACGGUACCUUGCAAGAAAGCCCCGGGUAACUUCGUGCCAGCAGCCGCGGUAAUACGAGGGGGGCAAGCGUUGUCCGGAAUCAUUGGGCGUAAAGAGCUCGUAGGUGGAUUGAUCAGUCGGUAUUGAAAUCCCCCGACUUAAUCGGGGACCCGGUACCGAUACUGGCAAUCUUGAGUGAGGUAGAGGUAAGCGGAAUUCCUGGUGUAGCGGUGAAAUGCGUAGAUAUCAGGAGGAACACCAACGGCGAAGGCAGCUUACUGGGCCUAUACUGACACUGAGGAGCGAAAGCGUGGGGAGCGAACAGGAUUAGAUACCCUGGUAGUC
rnacentral:rRNA from 1 species